UUUGCAUGUUACAUGCUCGAUACAACCUUUGCCAAAUCCAAUAAGAUCCCACAACAUAUUCGGCCCGAAGGCCCAUUUUCAUAUAUCCAACCAGGCCCAUUUCAUAAAUCUGGCUCCAAAGUCCAUUUAUCCUGACUUAACCUUCGGGGUAUCCUCUUAAGUGAAGACCCACUAGAAUAACCCUCUUCGCCCAUUAUCGAGGUAAAGCGAAAGGCUAAACUUGCAUGCAAUUUCCAAUUAUCAUAUUUUCAUACAUC
rnacentral:lncRNA from 1 species